rnacentral:rRNA from 1 species
AUACGUAGGGGGCGAGCGUUGUCCGGCAUGAUUGGGCGUAAAGGGCGCGUAGGCGGCUUUGCAAGUCAGUAGUGGAAGUCCAUUUUUCAAGGAUGGAAGUGCUACAGAAACUGCGGAGCUUGAGUGCAGGAGAGGUUAUCGGAAUUCCCGGUGUAGCGGUGAAAUGCGUAGAGAUCGGGAGGAACACCAGUGGCGAAGGCGGGUAACUGGACUGCAACUGACGCUGAGGCGCGAAAGUGUGGGGAGCAAACAGGAUUAGAUACCCUGGUAGUCCACACUGUAAACGAUGAAUGCUAGGUGUAGGAGGUAUCGACCCCUUCUGUGCCGCAGUAAACACAGUAAGCAUUCCGCCUGGGGAGUACGGUCGCAAGAUUAAAACUCAAAUGAAUUGACGGGG